CAACUGAAGAGUUUGAUCAUGGCUCAGAUUGAACGUUGGCGGCAGGCCUAAUACAUGCAAGUCGAACGAGAAAGUCCCUUCGGGGACGAGUAGAGUGGCGGACGGGUGAGUAACGCGUAGGAAUCCACCCACUAGUGGGGGAUAACCCGAGGAAACUCGGGCUAAUACCGCAUGUGACCUCCGGUUUCGACCGGGGAUGAAAGCGGGGGCUCGGCGCGCCGGCGCAAGUCGGUGUCAAGACCUCGCGCUAGUGGACGAGCCUGCGUUGGAUUAGCUUGUUGGUGAGGUAAUGGCUCACCAAGGCUACGAUCCAUAGCUGGUCUGAGAGGACGAUCAGCCACACUGGAACUGAGACACGGUCCAGACUCCUACGGGAGGCAGCAGUAGGGAAUAUUGUGCAAUGGGCGAAAGCCUGACACAGCCAUGCCGCGUGUGUGAAGAAGGCCCUAGGGUUGUAAAGCACUUUCAGCGGAGAAGAAAAGCUCGGGAUUAAUACCCCCGGGUCUUGACGUUACCCGCAGAAGAAGCACCGGCUAACUCCGUGCCAGCAGCCGCGGUAAUACGGAGGGUGCGAACGUUAAUCGGAAUUA
rnacentral:rRNA from 1 species